rnacentral:rRNA from 1 species
GACGAACGCUGGCGGUAUGCUUAACACAUGCAAGUCGAACGAGAAGGUUUUGAAUGAUCCUUCGGGUGAAAUUAGAACUGGAAAGUGGCGAACGGGUGAGUAACGCGUGGGUAACCUGCCCUAUGGAAAGGAAUAGCCUCGGGAAACUGGGAGUAAAGCCUUAUAUUAUGGUUUUGUCGCAUGGCAAGAUCAUGAAAACUCCGGUGCCAUAGGAUGGACCCGCGUCCCAUUAGCUAGUUGGUGAGAUAAUAGCCCACCAAGGCGACGAUGGGUAACCGGUCUGAGAGGGCGAACGGUCACACUGGAACUGAGACACGGUCCAGACUCCUACGGGAGGCAGCAGUGGGGAAUAUUGCGCAAUGGGGGCAACCCUGACGCAGCAAUACCGCGUGAGUGAAGAAGGUUUUCGGAUCGUAAAGCUCUGUUAUUGGGGAAGAAAACAUGACGGUACCCAAUGAGGAAGUCCCGGCUAACUACGUGCCAGCAGCCGCGGUAAUACGUAGGGGACAAGCGUUGUCCGGAAUGACUGGGCGUAAAGGGCGCGUAGGCGGUCUAUUAAGUCUGAUGUGAAAGGUACCGGCUCAACCGGUGAAGUGCAUUGGAAACUGGUAGACUUGAGUAUUGGAGAGGCAAGUGGAAUUCCUAGUGUAGCGGUGAAAUGCGUAGAUAUUAGGAGGAACACCAGUGGCGAAGGCGGCUUGCUGGACAAAUACUGACGCUGAGGUGCGAAAGCGUGGGGAGCGAACAGGAUUAGAUACCCUGGUAGUCCACGCCGU